AGCGGCGGAUGGGUGAGUAACACGUGGGGAACCUGCCCCUAAGUCUGGGAUACCAUUUGGAAACAGGUGCUAAUACCGGAUAAUAAAGCAGAUCGCAUGAUCAGCUUUUGAAAGGCGGCGUAAGCUGUCGCUAAGGGAUGGCCCCGCGGUGCAUUAGCUAGUUGGUAAGGUAACGGCUUACCAAGGCGACGAUGCAUAGCCGAGUUGAGAGACUGAUCGGCCACAUUGGGACUGAGACACGGCCCAAACUCCUACGGGAGGCAGCAGUAGGGAAUCUUCCACAAUGGACGCAAGUCUGAUGGAGCAACGCCGCGUGAGUGAAGAAGGUUUUCGGAUCGUAAAGCUCUGUUGUUGGUGAAGAAGGAUAGAGGUAGUAACUGGCCUUUAUUUGACGGUAAUCAACCAGAAAGUCACGGCUAACUACGUGCCAGCAGCCGCGGUAAUACGUAGGUGGCAAGCGUUGUCCGGAUUUAUUGGGCGUAAAGCGAGCGCAGGCGGAAAAAUAAGUCUAAUGUGAAAGCCCUCGGCUUAACCGAGGAACUGCAUCGGAAACUGUUUUUCUUGAGUGCAGAAGAGGAGAGUGGAACUCCAUGUGUAGCGGUGGAAUGCGUAGAUAUAUGGAGGAACACCAGUGGCGAAAGCGGCUCUCUGGUCUGCAACUGACGCUGAGGCUCGAAAGCAUGGGUAGCGAACAGGAUUAGAUACCCUGGUAGUCCAUGCCGUAACGAUGAGUGCUAAGUGU
rnacentral:rRNA from 1 species